rnacentral:rRNA from 1 species
UACAGAGGUCCCAAGCGUUGUUCGGAUUCACUGGGCGUAAAGGGUGCGUAGGUGGUGAGGUAAGUCGGAUGUGAAAGCUCGGAGCUCAACUCCGAAAAGUCAUUGAAUACUAUCUGGCUGGAGGGUCGGAGGGGAGACUGGAAUUCUCGGUGUAGCAGUGAAAUGCGUAGAUAUCGAGAGGAACACCAGUGGCGAAGGCGAGUCUCUGGACGACACCUGACACUGAGGCACGAAAGCUAGGGGAGCAAACAGG